rnacentral:rRNA from 1 species
CCUACAGGUGGCAGCAGUGGGGAAUAUUGGACAAUGGGCGAAAGCCUGAUCCAGCCAUGCCGCGUGUGUGAAGAAGGCCUUCGGGUUGUAAAGCACUUUCAGUGGGGAAGAAAGCCUUGGGGCUAAUACCCUCGAGGAAGGACAUCACCCACAGAAGAAGCACCGGCUAACUCCGUGCCAGCAGCCGCGGUAAUACGGAGGGUGCGAGCGUUAAUCGGAAUUACUGGGCGUAAAGCGCGCGUAGGCGGUCUGAUAAGCCGGUUGUGAAAGCCCCGGGCUCAACCUGGGAACGGCAUCCGGAACUGUCAGGCUAGAGUGCAGGAGAGGAAGGUAGAAUUCCCGGUGUAGCGGUGAAAUGCGUAGAGAUCGGGAGGAAUACCAGUGGCGAAGGCGGCCUUCUGGACUGACACUGACGCUGAGGUGCGAAAGCGUGGGUAGCAAACAGGAUUAGAUACCCUUGUAGUC